UACAACUGAUACGAUGAUAGAUGGAAUGAAAACCUUCAUGUUGAGUUGAAACAUCUACCCUAAUACUCCAACAUGCAAUGAUAUUAGGUGAAAUAUUGUUGUAUGAAGCUUGGUGAAGUCGGUUGAAUCCAACCUAAGUUCGCAAUUUGAAUAUGGUUAGGAGAUAGACCGGGGGGCUGAAAA
rfam:Sporosarcina psychrophila strain DSM 6497, complete genome.